UGUAGCUCUCUGCAUGUGGAAGAUGCAGUAAAGUAGUCCCAGGAAGACUAUGGGGGAGAGUGGAGCUUCAAGGUGGAGGAAAGACCUGAUGAGUAGGGAGAGAUGUGAUAAAGAUGGAGAAAGCUGGAUCAUCUGUUAUGAUCUCUGCGUGUGUAACACAGGAUAAUUCAUGAUUUGAAACAUGCAUCCUUGGGCUCUGGUAUUCUUCUGAUUCUGAGAGUUGGAACUCAUGUGGCUUCUUGAUGCAUCAGUUCCCUGAACUCCCUCAAAAAGUAUUUAAUCUCUGG
rnacentral:lncRNA from 1 species